GACGAACGCUGGCGGCGUGCUUAACACAUGCAAGUCGAACGGAAAGGCCUGCUUUCCCUUGUGGAUUGCGGGUACUCGAGUGGCGAACGGGUGAGUAACACGUGAGUGAUCUGCCCCCAACUUGGGUAUAAGCCUGGGAAACUGGGUCUAAUUCCCGAUAGUCCUGCAGGGUGGUGCCUGUGGUGGAAAACGAUUUUCUAGUGGUUGGGGAUGAGCUCGCGGCCUAUCAGCUUGUUGGUGGGGUAAUGGCCUACCAAGGCGGCGACGGGUAGCCGGCCUGAGAGGGUGGACGGCCACAUUGGGACUGAGAUACGGCCCAGACUCCUACGGGAGGCAGCAGUGGGGAAUAUUGCACAAUGGGCGGAAGCCUGAUGCAGCGACGCCGCGUGGGGGAUGACGGCCUUCGGGUUGUAAACUCCUUUCGACCGCGAGGAAGCCACCUGGUUGGAAGGGUGGUGACGGUAGUGGUAGAAGAAGCACCGGCUAACUACGUG
rnacentral:rRNA from 1 species